rnacentral:rRNA from 1 species
GACGAACGCUGGCGGCGUGCUUAACACAUGCAAGUCGAACGGAAAGGCCCUGCUUUUGUGGGGUGCUCGAGUGGCGAACGGGUGAGUAACACGUGAGUAACCUGCCCUUGACUUUGGGAUAACUUCAGGAAACUGGGGCUAAUACCGGAUAGGAGCUCCUGCUGCAUGGUUGGGGUUGGAAAGUUUCGGCGGUUGGGGAUGGACUCGCGGCUUAUCAGCUUGUUGGUGGGGUAGUGGCUUACCAAGGCUUUGACGGGUAGCCGGCCUGAGAGGGUGACCGGCCACAUUGGGACUGAGAUACGGCCCAGACUCCUACGGGAGGCAGCAGUGGGGAAUAUUGCAAAAUGGGCGGAAGACUGAUGCAGCAACGCCGCGUGCGGGAUGACGGCCUGCGGGUUGUAAACCGCUUUCGCCUGUGACGAAGCGUGAGUGACGGUAAUGGGUAAAGAAGCACCGGCUAACUACGUG